GACGAACGCUGGCGGCGUGCUUAACACAUGCAAGUCGAACGGAAAGGCCCUGCUUUUGUGGGGUGCUCGAGUGGCGAACGGGUGAGUAACACGUGAGUAACCUGCCCUUGACUUUGGGAUAACUUCAGGAAACUGGGGCUAAUACCGGAUAGGAGCUCCUGCUGCAUGGUGGGGGUUGGAAAGUUUCGGCGGUUGGGGAUGGACUCGCGGCUUAUCAGCUUGUUGGUGGGGUAGUGGCUUACCAAGGCUUGGACGGGUAGCCGGCCUGAGCGGGUGACCGGCCACAUUGGGCCUGAGAUACGGCACAGCCUAGUACGGGAGGCAGCAGUGGGGAAUGUUGUACAAUGGGCGGAAGCCUGAUGUAGCAACGCCGCGUGCGGGAUGACGGCCUUCGGGUUGUAAACCGCUUUCGCCUGUGACGAAGCGUGAGUGACGGUAAUGGGUAAAGAAGCACCGGCUAACUACGUG
rnacentral:rRNA from 1 species